GAGAGUUAAAUAGUACGUGAAAUUGUUGAAAGGGAAACGAUUGAAGUCAGUCAUGCUAGUGAAAAAUCAGUUUGACGGGUUUUGAGUUCAGGAGUAGAGGCAGGGUCAAACCGUUUCUCUUUUGAACUUGGGAUUUGUUAGAUGUACUUUUUCUUUGGCAGGUCAGCGUCGAUUUCGGAGGUUGUAAAAUACUUGGGGGAAAGUAGCUCUGCUUCGGGAGAGUAUUAUAGACCCUGGGGGAUGCAGCCUGCGGGAUCGAGGAUUGCAGCAAAUGCCUUUGGCUUGUCGCCUGAUCUCUGGAUGUUACCUCGCUUGUGACAACAUUCUUGCCACCUGUGGGUACUAAUGCCCAUUACUUAGAGCGAUCGAAAAUUUUGCUAAGGAUGCUGACGUAAUGGCUUUAAACGA
rnacentral:rRNA from 1 species